CAGAGCAAGGUGGUAUUCCCGAUGUAAUGUUGUAAUGCGUAGAUAUCGGGAGGAACACCUGUGAUGAAGUUGGCUUUCUAGGCUGUUCUGCAUGAGGAAGACGUAAACUAGGGGAACGAACGGUAUCAGAUACCCCGGUAGUCCUAAUUGUAAAAGAUGGAUGCUGGAUUUGAGGGGUGUACAUUCCCUCUGUGCAGUAGCGAACGCGAUAAGCAUCCCGCUUGGGGAAUACGACCGCAAGGUUUCACCUCAUGACGAAUAGACGGGGGCCCGCAACAAGCAUCGGAGCGAUGUGGUCUAAUUCGAUGCUACUCGAAGAACCUUACCUGGGUUUGACAUGCACAGUGGUAGGGAACCGAAUGGGGACGGACCUUUGGGACGCUGUGACACAGAUGAUGCAUGUCUGUCGUCAGCUCAGUGCCGUGAGGAUGUCAGGAGGUUAAGUCCUGCUAAUCGAGCGCAACCCUUGCCUUUAGUUAUAAGUGCUCUAAGGGGAAUGCCCGGGACAACCGGGAGGAAGGUGUGGAGUGACGUCUAGUAAGCAUGGCCUUUAGUAUCCAGGGUUAUCACACACGCUACAAUGUGCCGGUACAAUAGAUUGCGAACUUGUGAGACGGAGCCAAUCCUCAAAGCCGGUCUCAGGUCGAAUGGCAGUCUGCAACUGGACUGCAUCAAGCUGGAUAUUGACUAGUAAUCGCAGAUCAGCUAU
rnacentral:rRNA from 1 species